GACGAACGCUGGCGGCGUGCCUAAUACAUGCAAGUUGAGCGAUGAAGAUUGGUGCUUGCACCAAUUUGAAGAGCAGCGAACGGGUGAGUAACGCGUGGGGAAUCUGCCUUUGAGCGGGGACAACAUUUGGAAACGAAUGCUAAUACCGCAUAACAACUUUAAACAUAAGUUUUAAGUUUGAAAGAUGCAAUUGCAUCACUCAAAGAUGAUCCCGCGUUGUAUUAGCUAGUUGGUGAGGUAAAGGCUCACCAAGGCGAUGAUACAUAGCCGACCUGAGAGGGUGAUCGGCCACAUUGGGACUGAGACACGGCCCAAACUCCUACGGGAGGCAGCAGUAGGGAAUCUUCGGCAAUGGACGAAAGUCUGACCGAGCAACGCCGCGUGAGUGAAGAAGGGUUUCGGAUCGUAAAACUCUGUUGGUAGAGAAGAACGUUGGUGAGAGUGGAAAGCUCAUCAAGUGACGGUAACUACCCAGAAAGGGACGGCUAACUACGUG
rnacentral:rRNA from 1 species